AUUUAUUUGUAUAAAUUCUGAAGUCAGGCUCUAGCCUAAGCUCAAAAGCCAGCCUCACUCUGGCCGGGGCCCAGGUCCCCACCAGAGCAUACCCCUCCCUCACCAUCAUCCGUGACUCCAAGCGGGUACUGAAGACAGAGGGGGUUGGGGAGGGGGCAGGGAAUGGGCCUAAGCUGCAAAAUGUUGCCACGUGCCCACCGAAACCACCUCAGAUCAUGGGUCCUGGGCCAGGAUCAGAAUUCUGUCCUUCAGCCCUCUCAGGGCCCCCUCCUACCUGUCCUCAGACCAGGGGGUUCCUGGUCCCUGAGGGAGACCCGCCCCUACCCAUGCUUCUCCUUCACCCCAGGCCCUCACUCCCCACAGGAGGCCCUGAUACUCCAGGCUGCCUCUGCUUCCUCCGGCCCCAGGCCCGUGCCCCUUUCCAUCUGCUUCUUCUGCUGCCUCCUGGUCCUCCUCCCCUGUCACCACCUGCCUCAUGGGCUGGUCUCUCCCUGCCUUCCCCCUUCCUGUCCUGCUGCUGGACUGGGCCCUCACCUCCCUUGGGUUCAGGGGCUGUGAGGCUUUCUGGUCGGCGCUGAGCAGUGAGCUGCCUAUGGUCCUCUCACGAGCCCACUUUUAAUCUCAUUGACCUCUCGUUAUACUACAGCACAUAAAUUCAGAUUUGGAGAGCUUAUGUUCCAUCAUAAAUUGGGCUGGCAGACUUCCGAUCAACAAGAUAAAGCUGUCUCCUGUGAGGCUCCCAACACUUCCAGCCCAGCCUGCCAGCACCACCACUGUGAAGCCACCCAAAUCAGCACAGUGGGAGCUCCACCUGGCUCUUUCAAGCCACCAGCCCUGUGUUCCUACCCACUCUGAGUUUGCUGUGAUUGGAGCACCUCUGAGUACCCGGGCCUGCCCAGGGCCCUGGCAGCACAGCAGGAAACCUGGGAGACUGGAUGUAUGAUGGUGUUCUGGGGGCACACUGGGGCCCUACCAGGAGAGGAGGUGAUCCUGGGAGGCUUCUUGGAGGAGGGGAUGCUGCUGUGAGUCUUGAAGGUGACCCUGUGGUGCGACUGUGUACGAGAGGCUCAGACCACCCAUUCCUCCUCCUGGUGCAGCAGGUGCAGAGCAGCAAUCCCACCAGGGCACAGGUGGAUGAGAUCCUAAAAUAUAUAGCCAACUGCACGGUGAAACCCUGUAAAUUCUGUUGGGGUACAAGUUUCAUUAAAGAAAGAAAAAUGAAUGGUAAUCCAAAGCAACAGUGGUUUAUGUGAGGUUCCUCAGUACCCCUGACCCCACUUACUGGCCAUGAGGCGGGCACCCUGGAGAGCAGCCAAGAGUGAUGAGGUUGGAGGAGCCCAUUACCCAGGACAGAGAGUGUGAAGGCCAUUUCCAGGUACCUCUGGCUGUUUCUC